rnacentral:lncRNA from 1 species
UCGACCCCCCUUACGUUGACACCCCGUCCCUCUCUUCAGAAAUGCAUGGAAAAAAGCUUUGAGAGAGAUGGGAUAAAAGGAAGUGGGGAUAGAAAAAAGGGGUCACUUAGCGUCAUCAUACUAACAUAACAUGUCUGCAUGAAGAAACCAAAGAGAGUGACACUUGUUAUAUAUGAUCCAAAGGAUGUGUUUGUGUGUGUAUGUGUGUGUGAGAGACACAGAGAGAGGUGGGAAAGGUAUGGAUGAGACUUUUCUUGUGGCAUAUAGCGGUAGUAACAUCAUGCCCACCCUACUCUAAAAGUACCUUGCCAAGUGGGAAACUAGUAGGAUCCAAGCGUAGCAUGGGGAUGGAUGGGAUAUGGCCUGGCCUGGUGUGAACCAUGCAUCCA